UUUGUGGAGAGUUUGAUCCUGGCUCAGGACGAACGCUGGCGGCGUGCUUAACACAUGCAAGUCGAACGGAAAGGCCCUGCUUGCAGGGUACUCGAGUGGCGAACGGGUGAGUAACACGUGGGUGAUCUGCCCUGCACUUCGGGAUAAGCCUGGGAAACUGGGUCUAAUACCGGAUAGGAGCCAUUUUUAGUGUGAUGGUUGGAAAGUUUUUUCGGUGUAGGAUGAGCUCGCGGCCUAUCAGCUUGUUGGUGGGGUAAUGGCCUACCAAGGCGGCGACGGGUAGCCGGCCUGAGAGGGUGGACGGCCACAUUGGGACUGAGAUACGGCCCAGACUCCUACGGGAGGCAGCAGUGGGGAAUAUUGCACAAUGGG
rnacentral:rRNA from 1 species